rnacentral:rRNA from 1 species
UACAGAGGUCUCAAGCGUUGUUCGGAUUCAUUGGGCGUAAAGAGCUCGUAGGCGGCUUAGUAAGUCGGGUGUGAAACCUCCAGGCUCAACCUGGAGACGCCACCCGAUACUGCUGUGGCUAGAGUCCGGUAGGGGAGCGUGGAAUUCCUGGUGUAGCGGUGAAAUGCGCAGAUAUCAGGAGGAACACCAGCGGCGAAGGCGGCGCUCUGGGCCGGUACUGACGCUGAGGAGCGAAAGCGUGGGGAGCAAACAGG